UUUUGUGUUUACCCAAAAUCCAAGAAACUCUGAGGGAACACUCAAGAGCACGUUGUUGGGCAGUGAAUGUGUUGCUCAGGAUCCUGGUGGACUGAAAUGAGUCUGUCCAUUCUGGAUUAAAUGCUCUGUUUUCAUUGUCCACUUUUCUUUUUUUUGGAGAGUGCCAUUUGUUCCUUAUUUUCUCUAACUGUUACCCUUUUUCUGCCUCACUCGUCUGUUUCGCUCCCUUUCUCCGUCUCACUCAUAUUUUCGUCAACUUUCUCCGUCUCACUCGUAUUUUCCUCAGCUUUCUCCGGCACACUCGUCUGUAUCUCUCC